UGGGGGAAUAUUGCACAAUGGAGGAAACUCUGAUGCAGCGACACCGCGUGAGCGAUGAAGUAUUUCGGUAUGUAAAGCUCUAUCAGCAGGGAAGAUAAUGACGGUACCUGAGUAAGAAGCUCCGGCUAAAUACGUGCCAGCAGCCGCGGUAAUACGUAUGGAGCAAGCGUUAUCCGGAUUUACUGGGUGUAAAGGGAGUGUAGGCGGCUUUGCAAGUCAGAUGUGAAAGCCCGGGGCUCAACCCCGGGACUGCAUUUGAAACUGUGAAGCUGGAGUGUCGGAGAGGUAAGUGGAAUUCCUAGUGUAGCGGUGAAAUG
rnacentral:rRNA from 1 species